UCCUUGUUAGCUCAGUUGGUAGAGCGUUCGGCUUUUAAACAAGAAUUGGUCAAACAAUCAGUUUAUCAUACAGUUUAAGCAAGGGAUACCGAAAUGUCAGGGGUUCGACCCCCCUACGAGGAG
rnacentral:tRNA from 1 species